rnacentral:rRNA from 1 species
CGGACGGGUGAGUAACGCGUGAGAAUCUAACUUCAGGACGGGGACAACAGUUGGAAACGACUGCUAAUACCCGAUGUGCCGCAAGGUGAAACCUAAUUGGCCUGGAGAAGAGCUUGCGUCUGAUUAGCUAGUUGGUGGGGUAAAGGCCUACCAAGGCGACGAUCAGUAGCUGGUCUGAGAGGAUGAGCAGCCACACUGGGACUGAGACACGGCCCAGACUCCUACGGGAGGCAGCAGUGGGGAAUUUUCCGCAAUGGGCGAAAGCCUGACGGAGCAACGCCGCGUGAGGGAGGAAGGUCUUUGGAUUGUAAACCUCUUUUCUCAAGGAAGAAGUUCUGACGGUACUUGAGGAAUCAGCCUCGGCUAACUCCGUGCCAGCAGCCGCGGUAAUACGGGGGAGGCAAGCGUUAUCCGGAAUUAUUGGGCGUAAAGCGUCCGCAGGUGGUCAGCCAAGUCUGCCGUCAAAUCAGGUUGCUUAACGACCUAAAGGCGGUGGAAACUGGCAGACUAGAGAGCAGUAGGGGUAGCAGGAAUUCCCAGUGUAGCGGUGAAAUGCGUAGAGAUUGGGAAGAACAUCGGUGGCGAAAGCGUGCUACUGGGCUGUAUCUGACACUCAGGGACGAAAGCUAGGGGA